UACGGAGGGGGCGAGCGUUAUUCGGGAUUAUUGGGCGUAAAGGGCGCGUAGGCGGCUUGAUAAGUCAAAGGUGAAAUCCCUCGGCUCAACUGAGGAACUGCCUUUGAAACUGUCAAGCUUGAGGCCGGGAGGGGGUAGCGGAAUUCCCAGUGUAGCGGUGAAAUGCGUAGAUAUUGGGAGGAACACCAGUGGCGAAGGCGGCUACCUGGACCGGUUCUGACGCUGAGGCGCGAAAGCGUGGGUAGCAAACAGG
rnacentral:rRNA from 1 species